ensembl:lncRNA
GGCAACCGUGGAAGCAGAGGCUGGAUGCCGACUUUCUCAGGCCUCCUGAAGCACAGCCCAGCUGAUGCCCAUCUUGGCUGUAGGCCAAGCAGCUGAUGCAAAUCUUAGCCCGGCUGGUACCUUCCAAGGGGUUGGUUUAUCCCAGGCACCCUCUUGUUCUAAGCCCCACGAUGCCCAUCUUGCUGCUGCUGCUAAAUCACUUCAGUCGUAUCCAACUCUGUGACCCCAUAAACAGCAGCCCACCAGGCUCCCCCAUCCAUGGGAUUUUCCAGGCAAGAGUACCUUCUCCGAUGCCCAUCUUAGCUUGAGGGAAAACGAAAGAGACUCAGAGCCCAGCAGCCACUGAAGCCCUGGUUUCAGGAUCUACCUGAGAGGUGUGGUAUCACAGCUCCUGGUAUUUUGUUUGAAAGAAGAUAAUUCAGAAGAUACAUCAAAAACAGUGUCUUCAAAGGCACUGACU